UAGGUCCAACCUGCUUUCGAGCUUCAUAGCUGUGUUAUUUUUUAGUAUAUUAUCACCAGAAUUUCAUGGAACACAGUUUUGGUGUUUUCCCAUGCACAGAAAACUUGCCCAUGUAAUUACAGGUGACUUGGUGGAUUCUCAGCCAUGCAUAAAACUUGGUUGCAGAUUUAAAAGUACCUUGAAUUAUCAUGUUUAUUUUUGCAAACAUAUGGUGCUCUUACAAAUGAAUUCUGAAAUGAGUAAAUGCCAGCAUUCAGCUUUAAGGAAAAUCUUCAACUAAGUCCAAGUGAAUUCCAACCCACUCUUGCAUGAACAAACUAAAUGUUUCACCACAAGUGCUGGAGUUACAUCCAAUCCUGAAACAAUAAGCUAAGCAGAAGAUGGUGUUGGCUAGCAAGAAAUGUAGGGAGGAAAGUUUACCUGUUUCAUUUGGUUAUCACAUUGUACAUUGGUGCAUUAAAGAUUCAGUCGCUAUUAGAACCUCUUUUUCUAAACGUCAACGUGAUAAGAGAAUUUCACCCUAGUAUCGUUAAUUCAACGAAAGGACGUAAAACUACGAUUAUUUACAGUGCCAAGGAGUGCCCUAGAACUGAUGGAAGGAGAGUAAUCUGUUAUCACGCUGAUAGUAUUAUUUUUUUUAAAAUCUGCAUUGGGUCGUCAAAGGGAGGGAUUUUCCUGCCUCUCGGUUGAAUUCCACUGCCUGUUUCCAAAUUUUCCACCUAACUUCGUGCGUUUUGUCAGAACGGAAUGUACUCCACCAGCUAAGAUUUUCGCCUUCCGGCUCCUUUACUUCGACGUUGUGGCAGGUGAUGAAUGGCUUCUAGAACCCUUCUCCACCUUCUGCAUGUCAAAUUUCAGCCUAUAUUAUCUUUCGAUGGCGGUUGGUAAUCUAAUCAGAUUUAUACAUCCGAGCCAUAAUUGGAGGGCUCAGUUAUCAUAGGAGGCGUCUUGAUUCUGGGUUCGAGUGCCGAACGAGUAGGUAUUAUAAUUGCUCUUUUUUCUUCAGUUUCUUUGCAGUGAUUCGGGGAAGAACGAAUAGCAGGCGGCUCUAUGACCAAAUGAUUCAUUUUCAUCAAAGAACGGUUUUCGCUUGGCUUCAUUGGACUUAACUUCCCGUCUUCUUACUCCGUCAGUUGUCAUUAUCGUAGAAUGGAGAAUUCUGCUUAACCCACAAUGUCCUGGAAGAAGUUAGCUAGAAAUAUGUAUCAGCGGAAUUUGAAUGCUUUCUGUAAGUAGAUAAGCAAGAAUAUCUGUACUAAUUUGCAUUUUAUUUUCUUGAUUUAGAGAAAAGAUUAUAUGGAAUUUGAAAACGUUACUGACUGAGACGAAACGGUAAAAAAACACGCUUUGCGAACAGUUAUCGUAAUAAGAUAUUCCAUCACCUAGAAGUGAUGCAUUUCUCAAUUUGAAAAAUUAUAAAUUGGAUUUAAAUGUACAUUUUCGAAUUUCGAUCUCAUUCUUAGAUUAUACAAACUGUACGCCUUUUUGAAAACGGCUUCGGGACCGAUUCUGCCAUGGUUGAUAGAGUAGUCACUCAAGCAGAAAGGAAGGUUCUACUAAAACCAUAUAUAUUUAAAAAAUGAUAUGAAAUUGGUAAACGUUACUGACUGAGACAAAAUAGUCGAAAAAUGAAGACUUUAGAAGGUCGACCGAAAAUUUCACUACUUAUUUAUUUUCUGGCUUUGCGGUAUUUUUACAACAAAUUAUUAAGUGCAUAUCUGGGCUCCCUUCAUUUCUGUGGCCCCGUUUCCCCUUGACUUGUGAUAAGCCCGUAGGGGGUCAUGCCCCUACUGUGAUCAGCAGCAAAGGUUGUGAGUGCGCUGUCCGGAAAGGGGACGUGGGGGUCCUCAAGUUCUAUGAUAUCAUUGGAGGGCGAAGAGGCUACCCACAAAUCCGAAUAACGGUUAAUCGCUCACGUGAAAACUUGUCCGAAUCAUCAUCUUCACCCUUUUCCGGCUUCUCUUAGCCACCCACCGGGUAAUCUCCCCGGUGAAGUCAACUGAGGUAGUGGCUCUCACUACCUUGGUUGACGCUAAAAGUUAUAUAUCAAUACAAAAUUGUUAAAACAAA
rnacentral:lncRNA from 1 species